AAACACUGGGUUGGAAGGAAAGAGGCCUCAGCUCUCCAUCCGCCCUGUGCGGCCAGGGGCCGGGGGCGGAGGGUGCUCUGGGGCCAGGCCUGGCGGCCACGUCCCACAGUGACUCUGCAUGGAAGCAGCAUCCUCCCCGCCCCCCACGCGAAUGGGUCCUGCAGUACCGCCUGCGCCCACUAUCGUUCGCCCAGAGCGUCCCUGGCAGAAUUCUAGGCUUUCCUGGGGGCAGCAGCACCCCUACUUCGCCCUGGGGAACCCGAGUCCUGAUCUGGAGUCCCUCGCCUCCAGGAAAACGUGUGUUGACUGACCAACCAGCUGACGUGUAGAAGGAGUGAAGAGUCAGCAGAGACCCACCCACCUGGAUGGUCCAGGAGGAAGCAUGACAGUCUGCUGUCCAGUUUGGCCCAUGACAAACCACAGUGCCUGCGGUCUAGUGUGGUCCAGAAGCAGAUGGUCCUCCUGAUAUAUCGUCAGAAGGUCAGUGGUAGCCUAAAGCUACAUUACAGUGCCUAUAU